rnacentral:lncRNA from 1 species
AAGAGCAGACAGCCACAACUCUGACAGCAUGGCUCGUGUUUAGUGGUGCCUCUUUAGUUAGUUUGUGAGAGAGACUCAACUGAGGUUUUUUUUUUUCUUGCUUUCUAUCUUUGAAAGUAUGUAUUACUGAUCCAUUCAACUUUUAGAUUCUCCAAAGAAAAUUCUUUCCUAGGAAAGGUGAGAGAGCUACAAGAAGAUGUAGCUAAAAUGAGUUUCAUUUUGGGUUCUGCAGUGGCAGUGGCAGCCUCGGCAACGGGAUGCAGGCAGCCAUGGCAACGGGAUGCAGGCAGCAUGGCUUCAGAAAUGAGCUCUUCACCAAGAUUUGAAAGAACUCUUCGUGCAUCUUAGUUUAUAAUUAUGGCCCAGCUCUUGGGGGCACUUCACAGCUGAGCAUCUCUCUCCAGGUUCCCUUCCUCAGCUGCAAUAUUGGAAACACAUCGCAAAACAGAAGCAACUUGCUUUUCUUUCUACAAUGCAUAGAAGACCAUCGUCUGCAGUUUCUCCAACUCAGAAUUGGAAAAAUCAUAAACUCGUAACAAAAAAUAAUCUUAGAACUUCAGACCAGGAGUGAGGAGACAGCCUGUGACUCCACUUCUGCCCAGAGAGCCAGACACAAGGCACAAGCGAGUGUCAAUACCAACAGCAUCACAGUACCAGGCUAUGCACAACCCCUUGAUUUCUCUCCACAGCGUCCACCGUGAAUGCCAACCUAUUCCUGUGAAACACAUUUUGAGGAGAAUAAAGACAAUACCAUGGAAUCCCAGGGGUUGAUUGACCAAAGCUGCAGACCGACAGACAGGCCUGCCUUCAGUGGCUGGAAAAGAUGGUUAAGGCUUAUUCUAAUUGAAAAUCGACAUCCAUUGUGAACAGAGAGGUCAGCGGGCUCUCAUACAAACACUACAACAUCGAGUUUUGCAGUCCUGGUGAGAGGUCCCUUCCCCCAUCAUCAUUACGCUGCGUGGCUCAGGUGAGGCUGACUCACUCCCAGCAGCUGGGGUUGUCAAGACAUGGAAGCACGGCGCAUCAGGUGUUUCAUUUCUCUCUGAGGACGGAGACAGACCCAGCUGAAUCAGUGAAAAAAAAGCUCCCAUGAGAUUUCGAAGAAUUCUGACAAAAGAGGCCUUCCUUUCCCCAGAAACUGAGCUUCUAGAUCAUCAUAAGCCUGCCUCUUCCAGUUACUGUCUCUACUCCCCAGAUGAGGGAAAUUGAUGUUAGAAAGAGAAGAAAACAUUGCCGAGAAAGGCAAAUAGUUGAAGGUACUCUGAUAACACCGUUGGUGGUUUGAUUUGUUAAAACAAGGUUUUACUGCAUAGCCCUGACUGGCUUUGAACUGUUGACAGUCCAUUUGCCUCAGCCUCCCAACUAACUAGGAUUAUAGGGAGGUAUGAGCCGUUAUGGUUAGUUUGUAGAUGUUUUAAAAUUUUAAUAUAGGAUAUUUCAUUUCAUCAAAUUACAGAACAACUAAGAAGC